CGUUCCCGGGCCUCGUACACACCGCCCGUCACACCACGAAAGCGAGCAACACCCGAAGCCGGUGGCCUAACCCGCAAGGGAGGGAGCCGUCGAAGGUGGGGUCCGUGAUUGGGGUG
rnacentral:rRNA from 1 species